rnacentral:lncRNA from 1 species
UUGUCUAUAUUUUAUUGAACGGCCUCAGAUAGGUGUGACUACUAUAUUAGUCCACUUACGAUUUCUUAACAUAGCGCUAAAUUGCCUUAUGGCACACUAACUCUAACUAUUGACUAUUAACUUUUAAUUCUUGCACUUUACAUUAAUGCAAUUUAAUAUUCUUGUACAUAUUAUUCAUUUGCUUUUUCCCUUUGCUCACUUGAGCU